ensembl:lncRNA
CAACAUCCACCACAAUCCUGCCUCUGAAUUAUUGAGAGGAGCGAAGCAGCACUGGCUCCCUCUCUGAUUAUCCCGCGAUCGAUCCGCCUCGCCUGCCUCGCCAUAGCAUCAAACAAGCACGGAUAUUGAUCGCACCAAUCACGCUUUCUUCCUUUCUUUCUUCCUUUCUUAAGGUGCUUUAUUAGCAUCUCUACUCUCUACUCUCUACACCACACAGCCGCCAUGUUCUUGCCAAGCUCUGAAACAUGAUGUAAUGCAUACACAUCGCUCCUGCAAGGUGAAAAAACCCCCAAAAGGUGCAGGUUUUAACACUGGACAGGGCAGUGAGAAGAAAAACAUCUACAGACGGACGGAUGCGGCUCUGCUUCGGAGGAGCGAUGGUUCCUAGGAGACGGCGACCUCGCGUGUUUCUUGCUGCCCAGGUGUGUCCUGUCUGUUAAACUGACUGUUUAAAGAAGCAACAGCUCUGAAUGCCUACUCUUGGUUUGAGCCCAAGGUUUUUUUUUUUUUGUUGUUAAAAAGGAUAAACCAACAUGAAGACCAGAGAGCUGUCUAUGGGAGCUGAGAAAAGACGGAAGAUCUAUCAGAGCCGUUGGGCGCAGCCAAUUCGGCAAUUUGGAAUGUCCUGGAAAAGAGAGAAACCACUGGUGUACUGAUAACCAGGCACGGAACAGGUCGACCGAGGAAAACAACUGCAGUCGAUGACAGAUCAAGGGUUAAAAAUAGUGACAGAUAUUUUAAUAGUAUCCUGAGAAACUAAGCUGGGGGGAAAAAAUCAUGGUGUAUCAUCUUUUAAAUACGACCAAUUUCAUACAUAUUAAGCUACAACCCUCGUCUUAUAUGUGGAUGUGGUGUAGAUGCUGAUUUUAUUGUACUCCAAGUAAGAGCACUAAAAACGUUCAUGUACGUGUGUCUAUUUCUGCACAAGCCGUUGUGUGGAAACUGUCCGAAUCUCCAAUGCUUCAGGAUCCUCUCUCUCUCUCGCUCUCUCUCUCUCUCUCGCUCUCUCUCUCUCUCUCGCUCUCUCUCUCUCUCUCGCUCUCUCUCUCUCUCUCGCUCUCUCUCUCUCUCUCUCUCUCUCUCUCUCUCUCUCUCUCUCUAGCGUUUGUUUAGGGAGGGGUUUGAUUGCAUAACAGCACUUGACUUUCCCUUAAGCACCGAAUGACAAAAAACAAACAAACCCUACUUUCUGUUGCAUAAAAGAAGAUCUGACUCGCUGACUCGGAGCGUGACACAAAAAGUGCAUGGGAAUGAAAUUUAACGUAAUGAAAUAAAUAUAAUAAAUAUAAUAAAUAGUAGCAGCGUUAUCGUGAGAUCAUGUGGGUGGAUCGGGAAAGUCGAGGCUAGUCAUGGACAAAUCUACAGUGUUAAAUAUAACAAUUUGGCUCUGUAUGGACUUAUAUUAACAUCAUAAAGGUUAAUUCAA